rnacentral:lncRNA from 1 species
UUCUCGUUGAAUCCGCUGGUGGUUGCGGAUUCAAGGCGAACUAUGUUAUCGUUGGUUGUGCACCCACUUCUGAAGCCUGUUUGGAAAUUUGAGGCAUGAGGAUUUGUAUCUCAACGGCAGUUUUCCAGUCGGUAGUUAUCCCGAUGGCUUCCAUUUCUCCGGGGGCUGGUAUAGGGUCAGAGGAGUGGCCUGUUUGUUCUUUUUAAUUAGGAUGGUGACACCUCCACCUUGAUUUUGGCGGUUCAGGUAAUGAGUGUGGUAUGCUGAGAAUUUCGGUAUGAAGUUAUCGUUCCAGAAUGUUUCACUUAGUAGAAUAAUGUGUGCGUUGGUG